rnacentral:rRNA from 1 species
AGAACGAACGCUGGCGGCAGGCCUAACACAUGCAAGUCGAACGUCCCGCAAGGGGAGUGGCAGACGGGUGAGUAACGCGUGGGAACAUACCCUUCGGUUCGGAAUAACUCAGGGAAACUUGAGCUAAUACCGGAUACGUCCGAGAGGAGAAAGAUUUAUCGCCGAAGGAUUGGCCCGCGUCCGAUUAGCUAGUUGGUGAGGUAAAAGCUCACCAAGGCGACGAUCGGUAGCUGGUCUGAGAGGAUGAUCAGCCACACUGGGACUGAGACACGGCCCAGACUCCUACGGGAGGCAGCAGUGGGGGAUAUUGGACAAUGGGCGAAAGCCUGAUCCAGCCAUGCCGCGUGAGUGAUGAAGGCCCUAGGGUUGUAAAGCUCUUUCGUCAGGGACGAUAAUGACGGUACCUGAAGAAGAAGCCCCGGCUAACUUCGUGCCAGCAGCCGC